rnacentral:lncRNA from 1 species
AAAAAGAAAAAGUGCUGCAAGAUAAAAGGAGGAUGCAGGCGAAGAACAACAACAGUCCUCUGCUCACAAAGUUUCUCCAGCAAAGAGAGAUCUGCCCAUUGCUUCUUUUCCUCCAGUCCAUGGGAGGGAUCUCUUCAACACACAGCUACUCUGCAGGGGGAAGAGGGAGAGUAUUUCUCAGAGAUUUUUGGAAUGUGAGGAUGCCAGCCAAGACUCGGAGAACUUGCUGGGGAGUAAAUCAGGAAAACAGAAGAAAGAAGAGGCCCAUCAGCUUAGCACUCCUCAGUCCCAUCUCAGGGCUAAAGAACUUCUUGGACAAGUUUACAACGGGAGACUAAUGUUGCAAACUAA